rnacentral:rRNA from 1 species
UUUUAUUUAUAUAUUAUUUUUAUAUUUAGUUUAUUUAUUUUUGUAGAAAUAACUUUUAUAUUAGUAAUUUUUAUUGAAUUUGUUAUUUUUAAUUAUAGUUUAUUUUACUGUAAAGGAUUUGUAUUAAUAUAUUAUAAGCAUACUUUUUUUGUAGUACCUUUUGUAUCAGGGUUUAUCAAUUUGAAAUUAAUUAUUAGUUAAUUUUCCCGAAAUUAAAAGAGCUAUAAUUUUAUGAUAUUUUACGUUUUAUAGUGAUUGUUAAUAUAUUUAUAGUGGUUAUAUGCUAUUCAAUUUUGAAUAUCUGGUUAUUUAAUAAAUUAAUUUAAUUAAGGUAAUUGUUUGGGCUGGUUAUAUAAAUUUAUUUAUUUCAGUUUUAAUUGCUAAAAUUAUAGGGGAUAAGCUCUAUUAAUUAUUUUAUAAUCCUUUUGUCUUGUUAAAUUUUGUAGGCUUGAUAACGGUCAUCAUUUAUUUCGUUACAGUUAAUUUUAUUUUUAUUUUUAUUUAGUGUAGGAUUUAGAUUUUUAUUGAAUUUUUUUAUUUAUUUAUUUAUUAUAAGUAAUAAUGAUAGAAUUAGUAGUUUUGUGAAUUUGAGUAUAGUAAUUCGGCAAAUUUAAUGUUCGCCUGUUUAACAAAAACAUGUCCUUUAGAAUUUGUAAUUUAAGGUCUAACCUGCCCGGUGAUUUUUUUAACGGCCGCAGUAUCCUGACUGUGCGAAGGUAGCAUAAUCAUUUGUCUUUUAAUUGAAGGCUGGAAUGAAUGGUUGGACGAAUUAUUAACUUUCUUUACUUGAAUUUUAUGAAUUUUAUUUUUAGGUUAAAAAGCUUAAAUUUAAUUAUAGGACGAGAAGACCCUAUAGAAUUUUAUUAAAUUUAUAUUUUUUAUAAUUUGGUUUUAUUAUUUAUUUAUUAUAUAAUUUUAAUUUUGUUGGGGCGACAAUGAAAUUUAAUUAACUUUCAUUUUUAUUAUUUCAUUAAUUAAUGUAUAUUUUGAUCCUUUAUUAUAGAUUAUAAGAUUAAAUUACCUUAGGGAUAACAGCGUAAUUCUUUCGGAGAGUUCUUAUCGAUGAAUGGAGUUUGCGACCUCGAUGUUGGAUUAAAGUAAGUUUUGGGUGUAGGUGCUCAAUAUACUAAGUCUGUUCGACUUUUAAAUCUUUACAUGAUCUGAGUUCAGACCGGCGUGAGCCAGGUUGGUUUCUAUCCAUAAUUUUUAAGUUACACCUUAGUACGAAAGGACCAGGUGUAAGUAAUAUUUAUAUGUUUAUUGAUUAUUAUUAAUU